GCAAGUCGAACGUUAAAGCAUCUUCGGAUGUGUAUAAAAGUGGCGAACGGCUGAGUACACGUGGGCAACCUGCCCUUUGCACUGGGAUAGCCUCGGGAAACCGAGGUUAAUACCGGAUACUCCAUAUUUGUCGCAUGGCGAAUAUGGGAAAGCUCCGGCGGCAAAGGGAUGGGCCCGCGGCCUGUUAGCUAGUUGGUGGGGUAGUGGCCUACCAAGGCAAUGAUGGGUAGCCGGGUUGAGAGACCGACCGGCCAGAUUGGGACUGAGACACGGCCCAGACUCCUACGGGAGGCGGCAGUGGGGAAUCUUGCACAAUGGGCGAAAGCCUGAUGCAGCGACGCCGCGUGCGGGAUGAAGGCCUUCGGGUUGUAAACCGCUUUCAGCAGGGACGAGGCCGCAAGGUGACGGUACCUGCAGAAGAAGCCCCGGGCUAACUACGUGCCAGCAGCCGCGGUAAAU
rnacentral:rRNA from 1 species